rnacentral:rRNA from 1 species
AACGAACGCUGGCGGCAGGCCUAACACAUGCAAGUCGAACGAGACCUUCGGGUCUAGUGGCGCACGGGUGCGUAACGCGUGGGAAUCUGCCCUUAGGUACGGGAAUAACUCAGGGAAACUUGAGCUAAUACCGUAUAAUGACUCCGGUCCAAAGAUUUAUCGCCUAAGGAUGAGCCCGCGUCGGAUUAGCUAGUUGGUGAGGUAAAAGCUCACCAAGGCGACGAUCCGUAGCUGGUCGAGAGGAUGAUCAGCCACACUGGGACUGAGACACGGCCCAGACUCCUACGGGAGGCAGCAGUGGGGAAUAUUUGGACAAUGGGGCGCAAGCCUGAUCCAGCAACGCCGCGUGGAGGACGAAGGUCUUCGGAUCGUAAACUCCUGUCAGGUGGGACGAAGGCUCGUCGGUAAAUAGCUGUCGAG